GAUUAAUUUUCAUCGUUUGUGUUUGCAGGGGUCAUGACCAAAACAAAAACAGGAAGACUUGAGAAAUACAAAGAUCUUGAAGAUUUGGAAUUUAUAUAAGGGGUUCAAACCAGUUGUAUUCAGGUAUGGGUUGUUAGUCUAACAACUAAUAGGUAGAACAAAUGGGUUAUUCGUUACUUAUAUCCCUUCAAAUCCCACAGCAACAGCUUCAGACUAAAAGACAUGGUUUCUUGAGCUGGGUCCCCCAACUCCUAAAGAACAAAAGGCUUGCAUUGACAGGUGGCUUUAACUAUGAAGCUAAGUUCAGGGGAGCUACUGCCAUGUCCCUAUCUUUCCUGCAAGAGCCAAGAAGAUAACAGCCUCCCAGCAAAUGGUUUCUUAUGUAACCAUGUGUGCGCUUUGGUUGGUUCGGGUUUGGAGACUUAUAAGAAGGUCAAGAGGGCUCUUCAGGAUUGGAGGCAUUUUGGAAUGAAUUGGGCUUUGAUUGAUCCAAAGACGCCGGUUCAAAUGGAGUGAGGUUUUGUGUUUGUGUCAAGGAAUUGCUGUCAUUGGCCAGGAUGCCUCUUCAGAUAGUGUAUGUGAAUGAAAAUAAAAGUUGUGAACAGUCCAUGACCUCCUUUUGUUUUGGGGUUGGUACCCUUCUAGGUCACUUGCUGGUUAGUUCUUUUUCCAUUUUGUUUGGUCUCAGACCCUUCUGCAGCGGCCUCAAAUCAAUUGAAAAUAGUUCUGCCGUUUAUUUUCUUUGGUUUACUUGCUUUGAAUUUUUUGCUUUUUGUUUGUAUUUUGCUCUCUAAUCCAGUCUCACUUCUCUUGGUUUAUGUUGUUGAGGUGAAGCUUUGUAUUGAUGACUCUGUUAGGCCUUUUCAUACAUGGUUAUCUACUAUAUCUAAUAGUAGAGAUUUCAUGUUCUCUUGUUUCUCAA